AUAUUCACAGAGCGCUGAAAAAGGAGCGUAAUCCGUCUCUAUCCCACUUAAUCCCUAAAGCAAAUGAGUCAGAAGGGGCGCGCGAGAGAAAGCGCGCGCGCGCGUGCACCAACCUGAGGAAGCGAAAUUGAAUCUGAUCCGCCUCCUCCAUCGUUGUUGGAUGGCUCGGCACCCACGUGACCCAGAUGUUGCCACAGAUGACAUCAUGGAAUUUAGAACGCAUGACGCAACAAUGGGGGGGGGGGGGCGGCUAUAUAAAGCGAAUUCUGCACUGUGUUUGGUCAUUAGUGGUAGGGUAGGAGAAGUAAAGGUUGAAAACACUUAGCUGAGAAACAAUGCAGGACAGGACAGGUAGGAAAAAUUACGAAGCACAGACACUUGUAACUUAGUAGACGCUAACUGCCUUUGGUAAUAUGAUAAUUAAUUAACAUGUUUUUUAUUACAGUUUAUUAAGCUCAUACCUGUCAACAAAUACUUGUGUUUUUUCCCGGGAGUUUCCCGUAUUUCACACUUAUCUCGCAUCUCUCCCGUUUUGUUAUUUAAGUAAAUUGUAUGACCUAAACCGUUAACGUUACACAAAUCACAUCAAUAUAAUAUUCUGAGGUUGUCCAGUUAGCAGAUCUUGUAGGAAACGCUCCGUACUCACACAAUCAAUUACAUUUACUUACAUAUUUCAAUCCAAAUGUGAACUCAACCUGGCAAUUUAUAAUCCAGCUGCACAUAGAUUUCUGCGUAGGAGCGUGAAUUUAUGAUAUUAGUAUAAUUAGUGUAAUGGUUCCCGCGGAAAAAUAAAAUUCAUAAAUUUUGAUGAUGGACGGAAGACUUUUAAUUUAAUAUCUCGUGGCCAAAUACAACAGCACACGAUUUUUUAAUGUGUAUCGUGUGUUGUUUAUCACGGGAACAUUUUUGGCAUACAGUUCAUAGAUUUUAAAUAAAAGUCUCUCAGAUUUUGGUACCGAAAUGUUAACGGGUAUGAGCGUUGUGUAAAUUGACACAAAAAAAUGAUUGAUGACAAUAAUGAUUUUUUUGUCAUAAUUUUGCAGACCUUUCACCCUUCCACUUUUAGUAUAUAGAAAGAAUUGUAUUGAAUUAUUUGUCUUUUAACCAAAUUUUCUAGCAGGUGUUACAACAAACCCUCAGUUUGUUACACCCUGCUGGAAAAAACAGCUAAUACCAGCUUAAGCUGGUAGCUGGUUUAAGCUGGUCCAAGCUGGUCAUUAGCUGGUCCAAGCUGGUUUUUCCAGCAGGGCAAUUAACCAAACCUAUGGGGUAAGUCGUAACGUUUGCACUCCUGUCACUAACGGUAGGUCCCACAAACAAACUUUUAAGUGUUCAUUUAUAGCACAGAUGUUGAUUGUGUAAAAAAUAUGAUUUAUAUAACCUAAAUAUUUUUGAAUGAUAGAGAUUUUAAUGAAAUUUAAAUAAUGUUACAUUGUUUUUAAAUGUCCAAUAACUAUUCAGAAACCCCUAAAGACAGGGGCGUAGCCUGAGCGUUUUUCAGGGGUGGUCGGGUAAUGUUAGACCCAGUGAUUAUAUUCUGGUUGCAAAAAAAUUACUAAAGAAAUAAUUUCUAUACGUUCUACAGAAUCUGUAAAUUACAAACAUACACAGGAUUUAAGUUUAACAAUUUGUUUCCAAUGCUAUACAAAUGAAGGAAAAUGUAUGUUAAUUUUCUUGUUUGUCAUGCACAUCCCACAGAUGCUCGACUGGAUUGAGAUCUGGAGAAUUUGGCGGGCCAAAAAAAGAUAGAGACGUAGAUAUGUAGCUAUCUAGCUAAGCAGAUAGAUAAUAAUGCACAAAUACUGUUUAAUGCUCUGUAUAUACAUCUAUUGUCUGUAUUGUAACACAUUGUGUAGAUAAUUUGCUUUAAUAAAAAAUAAAGUUGUCCUCCGAAGAGGGGGGGUGGUGGCGGGCCAAAAAAGAUAGCUACAUAUCUACGUAUCUAUCUAUUUAGGUAGAUAGAUAAUGCACACAUAACACUGUUUAAUGCUCUGAAUGUACAUCUAUUGUCUGUAUUGUAACAUAUUGUGUAGAUAAUUUGCUUUAAUAAAAAAUAAAGUUGUCCUCCGAAGAGGGGGGGGGUGGUGGCGGGCCAAAAAAAGAUAGAUACGUAAAUACGUAGCUAGCUAGCUAGAUAAUAAUGCACAAACACUGUUUAAUGCACUGUAUAUACAUCUAUUGUCUGUAUUGUAACACAUUGUGUAGAUAAUUUGCUGUAAUAAAAAAUAAAGUUGUCCUCCGAAGAGGGGGGGUGGUGGCGGGCCAAAAAAAGAUAGCUACAUAUCUACGUAUCUAUCUAGGUAGGUAGGUAGAUAGAUAAUAAUGCACACAUAACACUGUUUAAUGCACUGUAUAUACAUCUAUUGUCUGUAUUGUAACACAUUGUGUAGAUAAUUUGCUUUAAUAAAAAAUAAAGUUGUCCUCCGAAGAGGGGGGGUGGUGGCGGGCCAAAAAAAGAUAGAUACGUAGAUAUGUAGCUAGAUAGAUAGAUAAUAAUGCACAAACACUGUUUAAUGCACUGUAAAUACAUCUAUUGUCUGUAUUGUAAAACAUUGUGUAGAUAAUUUGCUUUAAUAAAAAAUAAAGUUGUCCUCCGAAGAGGGGGGGUGGUGGCGGGCCAAAAAAAAGAUAGCUACAUAUCUACAUAUCUAUCUAGGUAGGUAGGUAGGUAGGUAAUAAUGCACACAUAACACUGUAUAAUGCACUGUAUAUACAUCUAUUGUCUGUAUUGUAACAUAUUCUGUAUAUAAUUUGCUUUAAAAAAAUAGAUAUGUAGCUAGCUACAUAUGUAGGUAGCAUCACCACUUUGCUAAUACGAUAAUGAAGUGGGAUGUUUAUUUUAAAUUCAAGAUUAUUAUGCUUCAUGUAUAUGUAAUUUUGACUGUUUUUAUUAUUUUUUCCCUUAAAUGGCCUAGCGCCCUCGUAUAUUAAAGAACUACUAUCAGAAUACAAUCCAUCACGUAAACUGCGCUCACAAAAUUCUGGUCACUUAAUUAUCCCUAGAAUAUCAAAAGUGUCUAAAGGUGGUAGAUCCUUUUCCUACUUAGCCCCUAAGCUCUGGAAUGAUUUACCAAAUAAUGUUUGAGUAUCAGACACAGUCGAUCAAUUUAAAUCUAAACUUAAGACAUUCUUCUUUAACAAAGCAUUCACAUAAAAUGUCCAGUAAAUGUACUUUUCCCGCAGUAGUU